CGGUAAUUCCAGCUCCAAUAGCGUAUGCUAAAGUUGUUGCAGUUAAAAAGCUCGUAGUUGGAUUUCUGCGGGGACGGAGCGGCCGGACGCAACUUGCGUCUCGAGCUAGCGCUUUCCCCGCAUCCUGCCGCGAACCGUGCUACCAUUAGUUUGGUGGCGCUGGGGAUCGGCUCGAUUACUUUGAGAAAAAUAGAGUGUUCAAAGCAGGCCACACGCCUUGAAUAAGUUAGCAUGGAAUAAUGACUAAGGACUUUGGUUCUUUUCGUUGGUGUUCGGGACUGAAGUAAUGAUUGAUAGGGACAGUUGGGGCGGUCCGUAUUCCAAAGCGAGAGGUGAAAUUCUUAGACCUUCGGAAGACGAACAGCUGCGAAAGCGUUCCGCAAGGAUGUUCCCUUUGAUCAAGAACGAAAGUUGGGGGAUCGAAGACGAUCAGAUACCGUCGUAGUCUCAACUAUAAACUAUACCAGCUAGGGAUCGGCCAACGUUUAAUUAUUCGACUUGGUCGGCACCUUAUGAGAAAUCAAAGCAUCUGGGUUCCGGGGGGAGUAUGGUCGCAAGGCUGAAACUUAAAGGAAUUGACGGAAGGGCACCACCAGGCGUGGAGCCUGUGGCUUAAUUUGACUCAACACGGGAAAACUUACCAGGUCCAGACAUAGGAAGGAUUGACAGAUUGAUAGCUCUUUCUUGAUUCUGUGGGUGGUGGUGCAUGGCCGUUUUUAGUCGGUGAAGUGAUUUGUCUGCUUAAUUGCGUUAACGGACGAGACCCCAGCCUGCUAAAUAGCGCGGCCGAGCUUUGCUCGGUGCGAGCUUCUUAGAGGGACCAUGAUGCGCGAUAGCACAAGGAAGUUUGGGGCAACAACAGGUCUGUGAUGCCCUUAGAUGUUCUGGGCCGCACACGGGCUACACUGGCGCCUGCAACGAGCAUAUCAGCUGACCCGAGAGGGUCUUGGCUAAUCUUUGGAACCGGCGCCGUGCUUGGGAUUGACCAUUGCAAUUGUUGGUCAUGCAACGAGGAAUGCCUUGUAAACGCGAGUCAUCAGCUCGCAUUGAAUACGUCCCUGCCCUUUGUACACACCGCCCGUCGCUCCUACCGAUGAAUGUUCCGAUGAAAUUUUCGGAGAGCGCCGGAGAACGGGGCUCUGCCCUGCAGAACUGGAGGCUCAAAGUCACUUAAAUCUGAACAUUUCGAGGAAGGAGAAGUCGUAACAAGGUAACC
rnacentral:rRNA from 1 species